rnacentral:rRNA from 1 species
UACGGAGGAUCCAAGCGUUAUCCGGAUUCAUUGGGUUUAAAGGGUGCGUAGGCGGAUUUGUAAGUCAGUGGUGAAAGCCAACAGCUUAACUGUUGAACUGCCAUUGAUACUGCAAGUCUUGAGUACAUUUGAUGUGGGCGGAAUGUGUCAUGUAGCGGUGAAAUGCUUAGAUAUGACACAGAACACCGAUUGCGAAGGCAGCUCACAAAACUGUAAACUGACGCUGAGGCAACGACA